AUGGGUGGUGGUGCAUGGCCGUUCUUAGUUGGUGGGUUGCCUUGUCAGGUUGAUUCCGGUAACGAACGAGACCUCAGCCUGCUAAAUAGUCACGGUCGCUCCGGCGGCUGGCCGACUUCUUAGAGGGACUAUUGGCGUUUAGCCAAUGGAAGUAUGAGGCAAUAACAGGUCUGUGAUGCCCUUAGAUGUUCUGGGCCGCACGCGCGCUACACUGACGCGUUCAACGAGCCUAUCCUUGACCGAGAGGUCCGGGUAAUCUUUGAAAACGCGUCGUGAUGGGGAUAGAUCAUUGCAAUUAUUGGUCUUCAACGAGGAAUGCCUAGUAGGCGCGAGUCAUCAGCUCGCGUUGAUUACGUCCCUGCCCUUUGUACACACCGCCCGUCGCUCCUACCGAUUGGGUGUGCUGGUGAAGUGUUCGGAUUGGCGAGAGGCGGUGGCAACACUGUUUCCUGCCGAGAAGUUCAUUAAACCCUCCCACCUAGAGAAGAGAGUCGAGCAUC
rnacentral:rRNA from 1 species